rnacentral:rRNA from 1 species
UGGGGAAUUUUGGACAAUGGGCGAAAGCCUGAUCCAGCAAUGCCGCGUGUGUGAAGAAGGCCUUCGGGUUGUAAAGCACUUUUGUCCGGAAAGAAAUCCUCUGGGUUAAUACCUCGGGGGGAGUGACGGUACCGGAAGAAUAAGCACCGGCUAACUACGUGCCAGCAGCCGCGGUAAUACGUAGGGUGCAAGCGUUAAUCGGAAUUACUGGGCGUAAAGCGUGCGCAGGCGGUUUUGUAAGACGGAUGUGAAAUCCCCGGGCUUAACCUGGGAACUGCAUUCGUGACUGCAAGGCUAGAGUAUGGCAGAGGGGGGUAGAAUUCCACGUGUAGCAGUGAAAUGCGUAGAGAUGUGGAGGAAUACCGAUGGCGAAGGCAGCCCCCUGGGCCAAUACUGACGCUCAUGCACGAAAGCGUGGGGAGCAAACAGGAUUAGAUACCCUGGUAGUCCACGCCCUAAACGAUGUCAACUAGUUGUUGGGGAUUCAUUCCUUAGUAACGUAGCUAACGCGUGAAGUUGACCGCCUGGGGAGUACGGUCGCAAGAUUAAAACUUAAAGGAAUUGACGGGGUCAUAGCUGUUUCCU